rnacentral:miRNA from 1 species
CACGGAGCUUCAGAAAUACAGA